rnacentral:rRNA from 1 species
AUGAUAUCUUUUUCUUCCUCAUUCUUAUUUUGGUUUUCAUAUCACGGAUGUUGGUUCACGCUUUAUGACAUUUUAACGAGAAAACUAAUCGAAUCCCACAAAGGAUUGGUCGUGGAACUACUAUCAAAAUUAUUCAGACCAUAUUUCCAAGUGUCAUUCUUUUGUUCAUUGCUAUACCAUCCUUUGCUCUGUUAUACUCAAUGGAUGCGGUAUUAG